rnacentral:lncRNA from 1 species
UCCACAACCACCCCAGGGUCCACCAUGAGCACCUCUGGGACCAACCCAACCACCUCAAGUACCACCUCUUCCACCUCAGAGACCACCAUGAGCUCCUCAGGGACCACCACCAGCACCCCAGGGACCCAAACAACCAUCUCGGGGACCACCACAAUCACCCCAGUGACCACCACGACCAUGCCAGUGACCACCUCCUCCACCUCAGGGACCUCCACAACCACCUCUGGGACCAUCCCAACCACCUCGGAGACCACCAAGACCACCUCAAAGACCUCCACAACCACCUCAGGUGUCACCACAAUCUCCUCAGGAGCCACCACAGCCAUCCCAGGGACCACCUCCACCAGCUCCGGGACCACUCCAACCACUCCAUUGACCACCACAAGCAACCCAGGGACCACCUCCUUCACUUCUGGGACCACCACAACCAACCCAGGGAUCACCACAACCAUUACAUGGACCUCCACGACCACCUCCGGGACCACCCCAAUGUCCUCAGGGACCACCACAACCAACUCUGAGACCACCACAACAAUCCCGGGUACCACCACGACCACUCCAGAGACCACCACGACCACUCCAGGAACCACCAUGACCAACUCGGGGACCACCCCUACCACUUCAGGGACCACCACGUCCACCUCUGGGACCACCACGGUCAUCUCAGCGACCACCACAGCCACCCCAUGGACCACCUCCUCCACCUCAGGGACCAUCCCAACCACCUCUGCGACCACCCUAACAACCUCAGGGUCCACCACGACCACCUCAGGGUCCACCACAACCAGCCCUGGGACCACCACCUCCACAUCAGGGACCACCACGACCACACCAGGGACCAUCACAACCUCCUCGGGGACCACCUCCACCUCUGCGACCACCCCAGCCACCUCUGAGACCAUCCAAACAACCUCAGGGUCCACCACAAGCACCCCAGGAACAUCUACAACCAUCCCAAGUACCACCACAACCACCUCAGGGUCCAGCACAACCAACUCUGUGACCACCACGACCGUCCCUGGUAUCACCACGACCACCCCAGUGACCACCAAAACCACCGCAGCAACCACCUCUUCCAGCCCCUGGACCACCGCAACCACCCCAGGGACCACCACGACCAUCCCAGGGACCUCCAUGACCUCCUCAGGGACCACCACAACCAACUCUGGGACAACCACGUCCACUGCAGGUACCACCACAACCAUUACAGGGACCUCCACGACCUCAUCAGGGACCACCUCCUCCACCCCAUGGACCACCACAACCAUCCCAGGGACCACCACGACUAUCCCAGGGAUCAUCACGACCCUUACAGAGACCACCACGACCACCCCAUGGACCACCACAAUCAUCUCAGGGACCACUACGACCACCCUGGGUGCCACCACGACCACCCCAAGGACCACGUCCUCCACCUCUGGGACCGCCACAACAAACUUAGGUACCACCACAGCCCUCCCGGGUACCACCAUGACCCCCCCAGUGACCUCCACAGUCACCUCAGGGACCACCACGACCACUCCAGGGACCACGUCCUCCACCCCAGGGACCUCCACAACCAUCUCAGGGACCUCCACGACCAACUCUGGGACCCCCAUCACAAUCCCAGGUAUCACCACGGCCACUCCAGGGACCACCACAACCACCUCAGUGACCUCCUCGAGCACCCAGAGGACCUCCACAGCAAUGUCCACCACUCCAGGGACCACCCCAACCACCCUUUGGACCACCACUGCUCCUCCUUUAGGUGAGUCCUCCCCAGAUGACCUCCACGCUCAGCUGGGGUGUCCCCGUGACCCGGCUGAUGUCCCCGUGUCCCACCAGGGCUGUGUGAGAACGGGGGGACUUUUGCUGGCACCGGUUGUCUCUGCAGCCCGUCCUACGCCGGUCCACGCUGCGAGUUCUCCACCGACACCGUGGAGACCAACCUGCGUGAGUGGUGGCC